rnacentral:rRNA from 1 species
CGGACGGGUGAGUAUCGCGUAGGGAUUUGUCGUUGGGUGGGGGAGUAACCUUGGGAAACUGGGGCUAAUACCGCAUGACGCCUGUGGGCCAAAGGCAGAGAUGUCGCCUGAUGAGGAGCCUGCGUCCGAUUAGCUAGUUGGUGGGGUAAAGGCUUACCAAGGCUGCGAUCGGUAGCUGGUCUGAGAGGAUGAUCAGCCACACUGGGACUGAGACACGGCCCAG